rnacentral:lncRNA from 1 species
UUUCUUAGGGCAUUUAUACCAGAAUAUGGAAGGGUGCGGUGGGGCCCUGAACGUUUGUAACAUCUUUAGAUCUUUGCCAUAUAUUAUUAGGCUGAUCAUUCCCCUUCAUAUUUUUCUAAAGUUAUUUUGCUAUUAAGCUAAUUUCACUUGAACUUUGACAACUUGAUAUUCCCACCCUUGGAGUUAGUUACAUGUUAAAAGAAAAAAUAAACUCUAUUUUUAGGAAAGACAAAAAUUGUAUUUCAAAUAGGAUCAGGACCCUUUAGCUUCAAAAUAACACAAUAUUUCAAAAUAAUUUCUAUAGGGCUUUACAGUUUGCAAAAAUGUUUUCAUAUGUUUGAUUUUUUUUUUACAUAACUGGGUUACAUUCUUCAUGACAUUAAUCUGAUAGAAUAGUGUUUAAAAACACUAUACUAGAUUAGACUUCAAAGAGAAUAAUAUACCGAAGC